rnacentral:lncRNA from 1 species
CUAUCGUCGAUUGAAUUUUGAAUUGAGCUUAUAUGCUUUUAAAAGUUUUAAGUCAUUGGUCCUUAUAUGUUUUCGGACUUUGGAUUAAGAAAUGUGCAGUUAGGAUGAGAGUGGUCCACUAAAAUUGAGUAAGCGGUUGGUUGAAUAGUAUGAUCUAACAGGUAAAAAUGAUUACGGGGGUGGAUCUAAUGGUGGAAAACUUGUGAGCACCAAGUACUUGGUGCUUUUAAAAGCACCAUAGCCGGACUCUCGAAAUUUUUUAAUAUAAACUUAUGCAGCUGAAUUGA